CUGCGCGUGGUUGGCUCGAGGCUUGUGCGAUUUCAGGCGAAGCCUUCGUCCGCGGGUUCGUGCGGCGUGUGUGUGUGGUUCGAGUGCUGCGACGGGGGGUCGCGGUGUUCGAGGGCUGCGCGCGAGGAACCGGGGUCGCGUGUGUGAGUUUGGGCGACAGAGACCGCACGGGUGUGUCGUGCGAAGUAGUAGCGCGCGUGUGCGUGACAGCGAAGGCCACCGGAGUUCCGUCGCCGGAAUUUUGUGCCGGCGAAAGUCAGUGGUCCCAAUUUCAUAAGCGGCUCGUUCUAUUAAGUCAGCGAAAAUUCUCCGCUACAAGACUAGGUGAGCUGGUGCUGCUGCAUGACAUCAAGCAUAUGGGGGCUAGACUGUAGUUUGAAGUUAACUUUUGGUUUGAUCAUUAAUGAAUUUUAUAGAACAUUGUUACAUGGUUUGAGUUUGAAGUAAAGAGGGGUCAUCUGUGAUUCCCGAGUUGUAAUUACAUUUUCUAUUCCGCUGCAGUUUGGUUUUGAGACAAUGAAUUUGAGUUACCGUAUUUCUAAUUAUGCCUUGCGUUCCAUCGCGGCGGUAACACUCCCAAAGUCGAUGCGACGUAGCAUUAGACGUGUAUGGAUUUUGGGGGUGUU